rnacentral:misc_RNA from 1 species
AUUCCUCAGCCCAUUUAUUUAAUGAAGCUGGAUGUGGAGGUUGCUGGCUGUUUUAAUUAAUGGUCCGCUCCUCUUAAAUGCAUUAGUGUGGAUGUUAUCAAAUGUUCCCCAGUGUAAUAAUUUAUUUGCGCUGUUGGUUACUUUGGUAGAAUUAAGCAUUCAUGCUUCUAAUAGUCCUUUUAAUAGGACACUUAUUUUUUGC